GGCUACAGAUUGAACGCUGGCGGCAGGCCUAACACAUGCAAGUCGAGCGGUAGGAGAGGUGCUUGCAUCGUCUUGAGAGCGGCGGACGGGUGAGUAAUGCCUAGGAAUCUGCCUAGUGGUGGGGGAUAACGUUCGGAAACGGACGCUAAUACCGCAUACGGUCCUACGGGAGAAAGCGGGGGGAUCUUCGGACCUCGCGCCAUUAGAUGAGCCUAGGUCGGAUUAGCUAGUUGGUGAGGUAAUGGCUCACCAAGGCGACGAUCCGUAACUGGUCUGAGAGGAUGAUCAGUCACACUGGAACUGAGACACGGUCCAGACUCCUACGGGAGGCAGCAGUGGGGAAUAUUGGACAAUGGGCGAAAGCCUGAUCCAGCCAUGCCGCGUGUGUGAAGAAGGUCUUCGGAUUGUAAAGCACUUUAAGUUGGGAGGAAGGGUAGUAACCUAAUACGUUGCUACUUCGACGUUACCGACAGAAUAAGCACCGGCUAACUUCGUG
rnacentral:rRNA from 1 species